AGAGCAGCUGCAGUAGGAGUGGGUGAAGGGGUCCCCAGUGUCAGCCCAGCUCUCUGUGCUUGGGCUCGCCCUGGCCUUUGGUUUUUUUGCCUCAGUGUCUGUAAAGCAAAGGUGUCUAGUAUCUGUCAUCUUCUGUCAGGUGUCGUUCGUCCUUGAUGUGACUUCAGCCCUACCCAAAUACCACCUUAUUAUUAUCUAUGUGCUAUUCCUCUCUUAAACAAGUUUCUUUCCUUCUUAUCAUCAUUUUGUUUUUGCGUGUGCACGGGGAAGUCAGAUCACCUCCCUCCUACCACAUGGGUCCUAGGGACAGAACUUGGCGCCAGAUGCCUUCACCUGCUGAACCAGCUCAGUGGCCCUCAGUGCUGUCUCUCUUCACGUCAGCAAUGUCUAGUAGAACUAGAACAAGUCGUAUAUCUGAUUUAAACUUUUGGAUAGCCAUAUAAGAAGGUAAAAAGGUCAGGGUAUAAGGACUACCCUUCAUAAUCCCAAAACUUGAGAGGUUAGGGGCAGAAGACACGGCACAUUCUAGAACAUCCUGAGCUGAGUGGAAAGACCUUCAGGUUUUAGAAAUAAAAAGAACAAAUGAAGUAAAUCUUUUUUUUUUUAAAGAGCUAUCUAUUUAUUUUAUGUACAUGAGUACACUAUAGCUGUCUUCGGACACACCAGAAGAGGAUAUCAGUUUCCAUUACAAGAUGACUGAGCCACUGUGUGGUUGCUGAGAAUUGAACUCAGGACCUCUAGAAGAGCUGUCAGUGCUCUUAAACAGCUGAGCCAUCUCUCCAGUCCUGGAUGAAGUUAAUCUUACUGUCAGGUAGAAUCAAGUACACUUAGAAUCCCAGCACUCUGGAGAUGGUUCAGGAGGCUCAGAGAUCUAAGGUCUUCCUCAGUUACAUAGUGAGUUCUAGGCCAGCCAUCCCAAAACAUGCCUUUAAUCCCAGCACUUGGAAAGCAGAGGCAGGCGGAGCUCUGAGUUAGAGGCUAGCCUGGUCUACAGAGUGAGUUCUAGGAGUGGACAAUUAGGGCUACUCGGAGAAACCGUGUCUUGAAAAUACCAAUCAACCAAUAAAUCAAUUAAUCAAUAAGAUUUCUGAUACCCUCCUUUGCUUGAUGAUUAAUGUUCGUUAGUUAAGAGACAAGGUCGUAUCUCCCAAAUUUCAAAUACCUUCUAUGCCCCUACGUUGCCCAGCCUGGUCGCAAACUUCUCAGUUCAAGUGAUCCUCCUGCCUCAGCCUCUCAAGUUCACAUAUAUUUUAUCAUGCCCCAUUUUGUCCUUAGAAAACAAAACAAAAAAAAGCCCACUAAAUCUAAUCUGUGAUUUAAUAUCGUAAUAACACUUCACUGUCUUCUGUGUUGCUUAAUCUCCCGCCUUAAUCGAGAUUCCGUGCUUCAAGUGUUUACCUGAGGCUAAUGGUGACUCUGUGGGACAGGCAGCUUUGAAUGUUACUUUUAAGGCACAAGGCUAUGGCUUGUGGUAUCCACAGGCUUGGGAUCCCUGAGGCUCUGGGUUCUGCAGAAAAUAAGGAAGCAUUGUAUCACUGCCUAAAAGUUUCAAAAAAUGUGUACUUCUCAUCCACAGAAGAAAAGCAGAGUGCUAGGGGGGUUACAGGUUACAGCUGCAUCUAAGAACCCCAGCAUGUACACACACACACUCUGUCCCUGCAUGUCUGCAUAAGGGUCCACUCCCAAGCUUAUCUAGGGCAGGAACCAUGUUCUUUACUUAAUCAGUUUCUCCUACAUCUUUAGGAAGGCAUUUCCCUCCAGAGAAGGGCUCAGUCUCUACCCUUAGGGUUAGGAUUAGGCCUGGCCCGCUGGGUUCUUGGCCUACCUGUGCUCCUGUUUUACAUAUAGGGAAACUACAGCUAACAGACUGGAGUGGUCGAGGUAGGCACAGAACCCAAGCCCCCUGACUCCCUGUGUCUUCCAGGGCAAGAACUCGGUAGUGUCCGAGGGGCUGGGGCCUGAUGUGGGGUACAGAUGUGUAUCCCACCAGGACAACAGGCCUUAGCAGUACACAGGGAAGCUAUAGAUGGCACCCAAGGGCUCCCCAUAGUGCCCAAGAAGUGGCUGGAGCACUUUAAGGCUAAGAUGUAGCAUCCGUCCUUCUGUGGGUCUUUGGUGUGUACGUGUAAGAGAUGUUAAUACAGUAACCCAAAAGCAAUGAAUUAAAUGAGACCCUGUCUCCCAACAAACACAGCAGCAAAACCCACGAAAUAUUACUAAAAGGGUCUAGACCUGGCCUGGGAAGGAGUUUCCUGCCAGAAGCUUUGAGGCUCUAGUUGAAGACUAGACACAGGAAGAGGCUGAGGGUGUGACCAGAGAAAGGCCAGUGAUGAUGCAUGGAGACCGGUGGAAGGUGGGGUUCAGAAGGGAAAGAGAGGCAGCGGUUCAGGCCCUGAGAGUGGGAGGGGCGGACAGGAGGCCCAGGAGGGUCAGGCCAAAGGCUCUCUCUGGCUGACUGUGGGAAGUCUGGAUGACUAGGAACCAAGAGACUUUCCGUAUCUCCCCAGCA